UCCUACGGGAGGCAGCAGUGGGGAAUCUUGCACAAUGGAGGAAACUCUGAUGCAGCGAUGCCGCGUGAGUGAAGAAGGCCCUUGGGUUGUAAAGCUCUUUCGUCGGGGAAGAAAAUGACUGUACCCGAAUAAGAAGGUCCGGCUAACUUCGUGCCAGCAGCCGCGGUAAUACGAAGGGACCUAGCGUAGUUCGGAAUUACUGGGCUUAAAGAGUUCGUAGGUGGUUGAAAAAGUUAGUGGUGAAAUCCCAGAGCUUAACUCUGGAACUGCCAUUAAAACUUUUCAGCUAGAGUAUGAUAGAGGAAAGCAGAAUUUCUAGUGUAGAGGUGAAAUUCGUAGAUAUUAGAAAGAAUACCAAUUGCGAAGGCAGCUUUCUGGAUCAUUACUGACACUGAGGAACGAAAGCAUGGGUAGCGAAGAGGAUUAGAUACCCUCGUAGUCCAUGCCGUAAACGAUGUGUGUUAGACGUUGGAAAUUUAUUUUCAGUGUCGCAGCGAAAGCGAUAAACACACCGCCUGGGGAGUUCGACCGCAAGGUUAAAACUCAAAUGAAUUGACGG
rnacentral:rRNA from 1 species